AUUUGAGCUAAUAUAUUAUUUUUUGUUGUUGAAAAAAUUAAAAAAAAAUUAUAAGUUAUAAUAAUUAAAAUUCUAAAAAAGGAUUAUUUGUUUUUUAGUUAAAUAUUAUAAAUAUAAUGGUUUAAAAAAGAGAAAUUUUGAUUAGAAUAAUAUUAGUUUUUUUUUAUAUUUUUUAUAAUAAUUGUUUAUUUUUUAUAAUUAUUUUUUUUUAUAAAAAUAAUUUAAUUAUUAUUAUUUUAUUUAAAAAAAUUAAUUAAAUUAAUUUUUUUGUUAAAUUAGUUCUAAAUAUAAAAUGUUUUUUAAAAUCUGAUGAAUUUUUGGUUUUAAUUUUUUAUCUCUGCUCAGUAGUUUAUUGAAUGG
rnacentral:rRNA from 1 species